ACGGGGAGCAGCAGGCGCGAAACCUUUACACUGCACGACAGUGCGAUAGGGGGACUCCGAGUGCGAGGGCAUACAGUCCUCGCUUUUCUGGACCGUAAGGUGGUCCAGGAACAAGUGCUGGGCAAGACCGGUGCCAGCCGCCGCGGUAAUACCGGCAGCACGAGUGAUGGCCGAUAUUAUUGGGCCUAAAGCGUCCGUAGCUAGCCGGACAAGUCCGUUGGGAAAUCCACGCGCUUAACGCGUGGGCGUCCAGCGGAAACUGUCCGGCUUGGGGCCGGAAGACCCGAGGGGUACGUCCGGGGUAGGAGUGAAAUCCCGUAAUCCUGGACGGACCGCCGGUGGCGAAAGCGCCUCGGGAGGACGGACCCGACAGUGAGGGACGAAAGCCAGGGUCUCGAACCGGAUUAGAUACCCGGGUAGUCCUGGCCGUAAACGAUGUCUGCUAGGUGUGGCGCAGGCUACGAGCCUGCGCUGUGCCGUAGGGAAGCCGUGAAGCAGACCGCCUGGGAAGUACGUCCGCAAGGAAUGAAACUCAAAGGAAUUGACGG
rnacentral:rRNA from 1 species